UACGUAGGCAGCAAGCGUUGUUCGGAGUUACUGGGCGUAAAGGGUGUGUAGGCGGUUAUUUAAGUUUGGUGUGAAAUCUCCCGGCUCAACCGGGAGGGUGCGCCGAAUACUGAAUGACUUGGAGUGCGGGAGAGGAAAGUGGAAUUCCUGGUGUAGCGGUGAAAUGCGUAGAUAUCAGGAGGAACACCGGUGGUGUAGACGGCUUCUGGACCGUAACUGACGCUGAGACACGAAAGCGUGGGUAGCAAACAGG
rnacentral:rRNA from 1 species